GUAAUGCCGGAUGCUCCAGUUGAUCGCAUGGUCUUCUGGGAAAGCUUUCGCGGUAUGGGAUGGGGUCGCGUCCUAUCAGCUUGACGGCGGGGUAACGGCCCACCGUGGCUUCGACGGGUAGCCGGCCUGAGAGGGCGACCGGCCACAUUGGGACUGAGAUACGGCCCAGACUCCUACGGGAGGCAGCAGUGGGGAAUAUUGCACAAUGGGCGCAAGCCUGAUGCAGCGACGCCGCGUGAGGGAUGGAGGCCUUCGGGUUGUAAACCUCUUUUAUCGGGGAGCAAGCGAGAGUGAGUUUACCCGUUGAAUAAGCACCGGCUAACUACGUGCCAGCAGCCGCGGUAAUACGUAGGGUGCAAGCGUUAUCCGGAAUUAUUGGGCGUAAAGGGCUCGUAGGCGGUUCGUCGCGUCCGGUGUGAAAGUCCAUCGCUUAACGGUGGAUCCGCGCCGGGUACGGGCGGGCUUGAGUGCGGUAGGGGAGACUGGAAUUCCCGGUGUAACGGUGGAAUGUGUAGAUAUCGAAAAAAAAA
rnacentral:rRNA from 1 species